GGGGAUGGGGGAUGGGGGAUGGGGGGGGGGGAUGUGGAUUCUUUUAAGAAUGUGGAUAUUUGGGUCAUCUUUGGCGCCCCCUAGAACGUAAACCGUGGGGUGCAGCGUCAUGAUUUUUACAACUUUGAAUGGCCAUGGGGUGCAGAUUGGCCUGAGCAAAUUUGGUAUCAGUGGAACGAAAGCCUUAGGAGGAGUUAGCCACAUUCCAAUGUGUGCUAAUCGGCAAAAAAUGCAAAAUAGCCCUUUAACCGUACAUUUUACAGAUACGCGCGCAUUGACUUUUUCUUAGAUCUUAUUGAGAUACAUGUGUGUGUCAAAUUUUGUGUCAAUAUGACAAAGCGUACAGGUAUGACAGUCAACAAUGUGUAUUUUCACCUCAUGGGACAAGAAAAAAAUGGACUUUUUUCUCCUGCCAUGGGGGGGCGCUCUUUUGGGGAGUAAAAAUUCCUUCACAAAUGUGUUGAUGGCUGGACAUUGCAUCAUCCUAGAAAACUUGGAGGCCAGUGAGGACAAAAGUAAAAAGUUAUAAGACUUUUAAGAAUGUGGAUUUUGGGUUAUCUUUGGCGCCCCCUAGAACGUAAACCGUGGGGUGCAGCGUCAUGAUUUGUACAACUUUUAAUGGCCAUGGGGGGUAGAUUGGCCUGCGCAAAUGUGGUGCCGGUCGAACGAAAGCCUUCGGAGGAGUUAGCGAAAUUCCAAUGUGUGCAGAUCUGCAAAAAAUGCAAAAUAACCCAUUAACCGUACAUUUGACAGAUACGCCCGCACUGACUUUUUUGUAGAUCUUAUUGAGAUACAUGUGUGUGUCAAUUUUUGUGUCAAUAUGACAAAGCGUACAGCCGUCAUGUGAAUUUUCACCUUAGGGGGCGCUAUGGAGCCAUUUUGCAUUUUAUUGUUUGGGCGACUUCAGAAUAUCGAAUUUUUCACCAGGCCCGGACAUCCUGCCAAAUUUCCUGAGUUUUCGCCAGUGGGAAGUGGGCCAUUUUCCAGUUUGAAGCGGAGGAAAAAUAACUAGGGCCCCGGUGGGGCACUGUCGGGCCCGAGCCGCGUCGCACCGCCCCCAGCGCGACCGCCUCCCCCUCCCGAUCGCGUCACACUCAAGGUCCAAAGAUGGUGUGCGCACUUGUCUGUGGUCAUUUCCCAUUAUAAUGAAUGGGAGGCGCAGUUUCUACCAAAACGCUCGCUGCAGACAAACUACAUGUCCUAUUUGAAAAAAGUCUGGACCAUGAGUGAGGGCAAAAACACAGCUAGGAUAUAUCCAAAUGGCAAGUUGCUCCUCCUUACGGUGUUGCCGGGAGAGCGAUGCGAUUGAGCCAUUGAGCGAUGGGCAGGGUUAACUUGACUUUUUCUCCUGCCUUGGGGGGGGGGGGGCGGGGGGGAUGUGGAUUCUUUUAAGAAUGUGGAUAUUUGGGUCAUCUUUGGCGCCCCCUAGAACGUAAACCGUGGGGUGCAGCGUCAUGAUUUUUACAACUUUGAAUGGCCAUGGGGUGUAGAUUGGCCUUAGCAAAUUUGGUGUCGGUGGGACGAAAGCCUUAGGAGGAGUUAGCCACAUUCCAAUGUGUGCGGAUCGGCAAAAAAUGCGAAAUAGCCCUUUAACCGUACAUUUUACAGAUACGUGCCCAUUGACUUUUUUCGUAGAUCUUAUUGAGAUACACGUGUGUGUCAAAUUUUGUGUCAUUUUGACAAAGCGUAUAGGCGUGACAGUCAACAAUGUGUUUUUUCACCUUAGGGGACAAGAAAAAAUGGACUUUUUUCUCCUGCCAUGGUGGGGGCGCUCUUUUCGGGAGUAAAAAUUCCUUUACAAAUGUGUUGAUGGCUGGACAUUGCAUCAUCCUAGAAAACUUGGAGGCCAGUGAGGACAAAACUAAAAAGUUAUAAGACUAUUAAGAAUGUGGAUUUUUGGGUUAUCUUUGGCGCCCCCUAGAACCUAAACCGUGGAGGGCAGCGUCAUGAUUUGUACAACUUUUAAUGGCCAUGGGGUGUAGAUUGGCCUGAGCAAAUUUGGUGCCGGUAGAAAGAUAGCCUUCGGAGGAGUUAGCGAAAUUCCAAUGUGUGCGAAUCGGCAAAAAAUGCAAAAUAGCCCUUUAACCGUACAUUUGAAAGAUAUGUGCCCUUUGACUUUUUCAUAGAUCUUAUUGAGAUACACGUUAUUGUCAAAUUUUGUGUCAAUAUGACAAAGGGUACAGGGGUGACACUCAAAAAUGUGUAUUUUCACCUUACGUGACAAGAAAAAAUUGACUUUUUUCUCCUGCCAUGGGGGGCGCUCUUUUGGGGAGUAAAAAUUUCUUCACAGAUGUGUUGAUGGCUGGACAUUGCAUCAUCGUAGAAAACUUGGAGGCCAGUUUGGAAAAAAAUAAAAAGUUAUAAGACUUUUAACACUGUGGAUUUUUGGGUUAUCUUUGGCGCCCCCUAGAACCUAAACUGUGGGGUGCAGCAAGAUGAUUUGUACAACUUUGAAUGGCCAUGGGGGGUAGAUUGGCCUGCGCAAAUGUGGUGCCGGUGGAACGAAAGCCUUCGGAGGAGUUAGCGAAAUUCCAAUGUGUGCAGAUCUGCAAAAAAUGCGAAAUAACCCUUUAACCGUACAUUUGACAGAUACGCCCGCACUGACUUUUUUGUAGAUCUUAUUGAGAUACAUGUGUGUGUCAAUUUUUGUGUCAUUUUGACAAAGCGUACAGCCGUCAUGUGAAUUUUCACCUUAGGGGGCGCUAUGGAGCCAUUUUGCAUUUUAUUGUUUGGGCGACUUCAGAAUAUC